GAUUAUGGCUCAGGAUGAACGCUAGCGACAGGCCUGACACAUGCAAGUCGAGGGGCAGCGGAGAGGUAGCAAUACCUUUGCCGGCGACCGGCGCACGGGUGAGUAACACGUAUGCAAUCCACCUGUAACAGGGGGAUAACCCGGAGAAAUCCGGACUAAUACCCCAUAAUAUGGGCGCUCCGCAUGGAGAGCCCAUUAAAGAGAGCAAUUUUGGUUACAGACGAGCAUGCGCUCCA
rnacentral:rRNA from 1 species